rnacentral:rRNA from 2 species
UUAAGCGACUAAGCGUACACGGUGGAUGCCCUGGCAGUCAGAGGCGAUGAAGGACGUGCUAAUCUGCGAUAAGCGUCGGUGAGGUGAUAUGAACCGUUAUAACCGGCGAUUUCCGAAUGGGGAAACCCAGUGUGUUUCGACACACUAUCAUUAACUGAAUCCAUAGGUUAAUGAGGCGAACCGGGGGAACUGAAACAUCUAAGUACCCCGAGGAAAAGAAAUCAACCGAGAUUCCCCCAGUAGCGGCGAGCGAACGGGGAGGAGCCCAGAGCCUGAAUCAGUGUGUGUGUUAGUGGAAGCGUCUGGAAAGGCGCGCGAUACAGGGUGACAGCCCCGUACACAAAAAUGCACAUACUGUGAGCUCGAUGAGUAGGGCGGGACACGUGGUAUCCUGUCUGAAUAUGGGGGGACCAUCCUCCAAGGCUAAAUACUCCUGACUGACCGAUAGUGAACCAGUACCGUGAGGGAAAGGCGAAAAGAACCCCGGCGAGGGGAGUGAAAAAGAACCUGAAACCGUGUACGUACAAGCAGUGGGAGCCUCUUAAUGGGGUGACUGCGUACCUUUUGUAUAAUGGGUCAGCGACUUAUAUUCUGUAGCAAGGUUAACCGAAUAGGGGAGCCGAAGGGAAACCGAGUCUUAACUGGGCGUUAAGUUGCAGGGUAUAGACCCGAAACCCGGUGAUCUAGCCAUGGGCAGGUUGAAGGUUGGGUAACACUAACUGGAGGACCGAACCGACUAAUGUUGAAAAAUUAGCGGAUGACUUGUGGCUGGGGGUGAAAGGCCAAUCAAACCGGGAGAUAGCUGGUUCUCCCCGAAAGCUAUUUAGGUAGCGCCUCGUGAAUUCAUCUCCGGGGGUAGAGCACUGUUUCGGCAAGGGGGUCAUCCCGACUUACCAACCCGAUGCAAACUGCGAAUACCGGAGAAUGUUAUCACGGGAGACACACGGCGGGUGCUAACGUCCGUCGUGAAGAGGGAAACAACCCAGACCGCCAGCUAAGGUCCCAAAGUCAUGGUUAAGUGGGAAACGAUGUGGGAAGGCCCAGACAGCCAGGAUGUUGGCUUAGAAGCAGCCAUCAUUUAAAGAAAGCGUAAUAGCUCACUGGUCGAGUCGGCCUGCGCGGAAGAUGUAACGGGGCUAAACCAUGCACCGAAGCUGCGGCAGCGACGCUUAUGCGUUGUUGGGUAGGGGAGCGUUCUGUAAGCCUGUGAAGGUGGCCUGUGAGGGUUGCUGGAGGUAUCAGAAGUGCGAAUGCUGACAUAAGUAACGAUAAAGCGGGUGAAAAGCCCGCUCGCCGGAAGACCAAGGGUUCCUGUCCAACGUUAAUCGGGGCAGGGUGAGUCGACCCCUAAGGCGAGGCCGAAAGGCGUAGUCGAUGGGAAACAGGUUAAUAUUCCUGUACUUGGUGUUACUGCGAAGGGGGGACGGAGAAGGCUAUGUUGGCCGGGCGACGGUUGUCCCGGUUUAAGCGUGUAGGCUGGUUUUCCAGGCAAAUCCGGAAAAUCAAGGCUGAGGCGUGAUGACGAGGUACUACGGUGCUGAAGCAACAAAUGCCCUGCUUCCAGGAAAAGCCUCUAAGCAUCAGGUAACAUCAAAUCGUACCCCAAACCGACACAGGUGGUCAGGUAGAGAAUACCAAGGCGCUUGAGAGAACUCGGGUGAAGGAACUAGGCAAAAUGGUGCCGUAACUUCGGGAGAAGGCACGCUGAUAUGUAGGUGAAGCGACUUGCUCGUGGAGCUGAAAUCAGUCGAAGAUACCAGCUGGCUGCAACUGUUUAUUAAAAACACAGCACUGUGCAAACACGAAAGUGGACGUAUACGGUGUGACGCCUGCCCGGUGCCGGAAGGUUAAUUGAUGGGGUUAGCGGUAACGCGAAGCUCUUGAUCGAAGCCCCGGUAAACGGCGGCCGUAACUAUAACGGUCCUAAGGUAGCGAAAUUCCUUGUCGGGUAAGUUCCGACCUGCACGAAUGGCGUAAUGAUGGCCAGGCUGUCUCCACCCGAGACUCAGUGAAAUUGAACUCGCUGUGAAGAUGCAGUGUACCCGCGGCAAGACGGAAAGACCCCGUGAACCUUUACUAUAGCUUGACACUGAACAUUGAGCCUUGAUGUGUAGGAUAGGUGGGAGGCUUUGAAGUGUGGACGCCAGUCUGCAUGGAGCCGACCUUGAAAUACCACCCUUUAAUGUUUGAUGUUCUAACGUGGGCCCCUUACCGGGGUUGCGGACAGUGUCUGGUGGGUAGUUUGACUGGGGCGGUCUCCUCCUAAAGAGUAACGGAGGAGCACGAAGGUUGGCUAAUCCUGGUCGGACAUCAGGAGGUUAGUGCAAUGGCAUAAGCCAGCUUGACUGCGAGCGUGACGGCGCGAGCAGGUGCGAAAGCAGGUCAUAGUGAUCCGGUGGUUCUGAAUGGAAGGGCCAUCGCUCAACGGAUAAAAGGUACUCCGGGGAUAACAGGCUGAUACCGCCCAAGAGUUCAUAUCGACGGCGGUGUUUGGCACCUCGAUGUCGGCUCAUCACAUCCUGGGGCUGAAGUAGGUCCCAAGGGUAUGGCUGUUCGCCAUUUAAAGUGGUACGCGAGCUGGGUUUAGAACGUCGUGAGACAGUUCGGUCCCUAUCUGCCGUGGGCGCUGGAGAACUGAGGGGGGCUGCUCCUAGUACGAGAGGACCGGAGUGGACGCAUCACUGGUGUUCGGGUUGUCAUGCCAAUGGCACUGCCCGGUAGCUAAAUGCGGAAGAGAUAAGUGCUGAAAGCAUCUAAGCACGAAACUUGCCCCGAGAUGAGUUCUCCCUGACUCCUUGAGAGUCCUGAAGGAACGUUGAAGACGACGACGUUGAUAGGCCGGGUGUGUAAGCGCAGCGAUGCGUUGAGCUAACCGGUACUAAUGAACCGUGAGGCUUAACCUU